rnacentral:rRNA from 1 species
GGCGGCGUGCCUAAUACAUGCAAGUGGGACGCAAGGAAACACACUGUGCUUGCACACCGUGUUUUCUUGAGUCGCGAACGGGUGAGUAACGCGUAGGUAACCUGCCUAUUAGCGGGGGAUAACUAUUGGAAACGAUAGCUAAUACCGCAUAAUAUUAAUUAUUGCAUGAUAAUUGAUUGAAAGAUGCAAGCGCAUCACUAGUAGAUGGACCUGCGUUGUAUUAGCUAGUUGGUAAGGUAAGAGCUUACCAAGGCGACGAUACAUAGCCGACCUGAGAGGGUGAUCGGCCACACUGGGACUGAGACACGGCCCAGACUCCUACGGGAGGCAGCAGUAGGGAAUCUUCGGCAAUGGACGAAAGUCUGACCGAGCAACGCCGCGUGAGUGAAGAAGGUUUUCGGAU